rnacentral:rRNA from 1 species
CAACGGCCGCGGUACCCUAACCGUGCGAAGGUAGCAUAAUCACUUGUUCUUUAAAUAGGGACUAGUAUCAACGGCAUCACGAGGGUUACACUGUCUCCUUUCUCCAAUCAGUGAAACUGAUCUCCCCGUGAAGAAGCGGGGAUAUAACUAUUAGACGAGAAGACCCCAUGGAGCUUUAAGCUCAACAACAAUUUUUAUGAAAAUAAUUCCUCAUAGUAUACAGACCCUGUUUGUUAGCUUUAGGUUGGGGUGACCGCGGAGUAUAAUUUAACCUCCACAACGAAAGGGCAUAAAACCCUUAUCCAAGAGCCACUGCUCUAAGAAUCACCAAAUUGACGUAUAAUGAUCCGAUUUUCGAUCAACGGACCAAGUUACCCUGGGGAUAACAGCGCAAUCCAUUUUUAGAGCCCCUAUCGACAAA